rnacentral:rRNA from 1 species
GAGCAUGUGGUUUAAUUCGAUGCAACGCGAAGAACCUUACCUACUCUUGACAUCCAGAGAAUUCGCUAGAGAUAGCUUAGUGCCUUCGGGAACUCUGAGACAGGUGCUGCAUGGCUGUCGUCAGCUCGUGUUGUGAAAUGUUGGGUUAAGUCCCGCAACGAGCGCAACCCUUAUCCUUGUUUGCCAGCACGUAAUGGUGGGAACUCCAGGGAGACUGCCGGUGAUAAACCGGAGGAAGGUGGGGACGACGUCAAGUCAUCAUGGCCCUUACGAGUAGGGCUACACACGUGCUACAAUGGCGUAUACAGAGGGCUGCAAACUAGCGAUAGUAAGCGAAUCCCACAAAGUACGUCGUAGUCCGGAUUGGAGUCUGCAACUCGACUCCANGAAGUCGNAANCGC